rnacentral:tRNA from 1 species
GCCGCGACUGGGUAUCGGUGAACCCAACAGCCUGCUACGCUGUAGCCGGUUUCUCUCGGCAUCCCGGUUCGAAUCCGGGUUGCGGCG